GACGAACGCUGGCGGCGUGCUUAACACAUGCAAGUCGAACGAAGAGCGAUGAAGCUUGCUUCUAUCAAUCUUAGUGGCGAACGGGUGAGUAACGCGUAAUCAACCUGCCCUUCAGAGGGGGACAACAGUUGGAAACGACUGCUAAUACCGCAUACGAUCUAAUCUCGGCAUCGAGGAUAGAUGAAAGGUGGCCUCUACAUGUAAGCUAUCACUGAAGGAGGGGAUUGCGUCUGAUUAGCUAGUUGGAGGGGUAACGGCCCACCAAGGCGAUGAUCAGUAGCCGGUCUGAGAGGAUGAACGGCCACAUUGGGACUGAGACACGGCCCAGACUCCUACGGGAGGCAGCAGUGGGGAAUCUUCCGCAAUGGACGAAAGUCUGACGGAGCAACGCCGCGUGAGUGAUGACGGCCUUCGGGUUGUAAAGCUCUGUUAAUCGGGACGAAAGGCCUUCUUGCGAAUAGUGAGAAGGAUUGACGGUACCGGAAUAGAAAGCCACGGCUAACUACGUG
rnacentral:rRNA from 1 species